UACGUAGGGUCCGAGCGUUGUCCGGAAUUACUGGGCGUAAAGAGCUCGUAGGUGGUUUGUCGCGUUGUCCGUGAAAACUCACAGCUCAACUGUGGGCGUGCGGGCGAUACGGGCAGACUGGAGUACUGCAGGGGAGACUGGAAUUCCUGGUGUAGCGGUGGAAUGCGCAGAUAUCAGGAGGAACACCGGUGGCGAAGGCGGCUACCUGGACCGGUUCUGACGCUGAGGCGCGAAAGCGUGGGUAGCAAACAGG
rnacentral:rRNA from 1 species